rnacentral:rRNA from 1 species
GAACACCAGUGGCGAAGGCGGCCUACUGGGCACCAACUGACGCUGAGGCUCGAAAGCAUGGGUAGCAAACAGGAUUAGAUACCCUGGUAGUCCAUGCCGUAAACGAUGAUUACUAGGUGUUGGAGGAUUGACCCCUUCAGUGCCGCAGUUAACACAAUAAGUAAUCCACCUGGGGAGUACGACCGCAAGGUUGAAACUCAAAGGAAUUGACGGGGGCCCGCACAAGCAGUGGAGUAUGUGGUUUAAUUCGAAGCAACGCGAAGAACCUUACCAGGUCUUGACAUCGGAUGCAUAGUGCAGAGAUGCAUGAAGCCCUUCGGGGCAUCCAGACAGGUGGUGCAUGGUUGUCGUCAGCUCGUGUCGUGAGAUGUUGGGUUAAGUCCCGCAACGAGCGCAACCCUUACGGUCAGUUACUACGCAAGAGGACUCUGGCCGGACUGCCGUUGACAAAACGGAGGAAGGUGGGGAUGACGUCAAAUCAUCAUGCCCUUUAUGACCUGGGCUACACACGUACUACAAUGGCGUUUAACAAAGAGAAGCGAAGCCGCGAGGCGGAGCAAAACUCAAAAACAACGUCCCAGUUCAGACUGCAGGCUGCAACUCGCCUGCACGAAGUCGGAAUUGCUAGUAAUCGCGGAUCAGCAUGCCGCGGUGAAUACGUUCCCGGGCCUUGUACACACCGCCCGUCACACCAUGAGAGCCGGGAACACCCGAAGUCCGUAGCCUAACCGCAAGGGGGGCGCGGCCGAAGGUGGGUUCGAUAAUUGGGGUGAAGUCGUAACAAGGUAACCA